AACAAAAUUGGAAGAAAAAGGGGUUUAAUAAUGCUUUUGUCACUUGUGCCCAUACAAAUUAUUAUGUUCCAGUGUUCCCUAAUCAGUUAUAGUACAACCAAUUAGUCCGAGCAUAAUAAAUUGCAGUUUUUUUUCCGAUGUAAAAGCUAUUUGGGUAUAUAUGAUUCACGUAAAUUUGGAUUAAUUCAUGUAGGUCUAUUCUUUGCAGACAGGUCUCUGACAUAUGACCUUUUUAUUACUUUAACUUGUACAACAAUCCAUCAUAGGACCUUAUCAAAGCAUUCAUUUGUCUUGCUAUACAGUGCAGUCACUAGUGUAAAAUACGUUUGUUUGUAUUCAGUUAUCUCAGUUUCCAUUCUAUUCUGGAGAAAAUUACCUCUGUGAACCGCCAUGUUUCAGCAUUGUUUAUGACAUACGCAACUUGUGAGAUUUAUACAUCUUUAAGUAUAGUUCAUCUUUGCUAACUAUUCCUUGUCUAAAGAAAUGACUUACCCUGAAUCAUUGGAUGUGCUUGGUUCAUGGAUUUGCAAACAUUCUAACAAUGACUGAGUAUAGUAUGGUAUCAGUUCUGAAAAAUGGCUUCACAUUACUAAAAUCCAUUUGAUUUAUUGUUUUUUCUAAACCGUAUAUAGGUUAC